rnacentral:rRNA from 1 species
CGAGCGUUAAUCGGAAUUACUGGGCGUAAAGUGUGCGCAGGCGGCCGCGCAAGUCGAGCGUGAAAGCCCCGGGCUUAACUUGGGAAUUGCGCUCGAAACUACGUGGCUGGAGUGUGGCAGAGGAAGGUGGAAUUCCAGGUGUAGCGGUGAAAUGCGUAGAGAUCGGGAGGAACACCAGAGGCGAAGGCGGCGACCUGGACAGUUACUGACACUCAACUACGAAAGCGUGGGGAGCAAACAGG